rnacentral:rRNA from 1 species
AUUGAACGCUGGCGGCAUGCCUUACACAUGCAAGUCGAACGGUAACAGGUCUUCGGAUGCUGACGAGUGGCGAACGGGUGAGUAAUACAUCGGAACGCGCCCGAGAGUGGGGGAUAACGAGGCGAAAGCUUUGCUAAUACCGCAUACGAUCUCAGGAUGAAAGCAGGGGACCGCAAGGCCUUGCGCUCACGGAGCGGCCGAUGGCAGAUUAGGUAGUUGGUGGGAUAAAAGCUUACCAAGCCGACGAUCUGUAGCUGGUCUGAGAGGACGACCAGCCAAACUGGGACUGAGACACGGCCCAGACUCCUACGGGAGGCAGCAGUGGGGAAUUUUGGACAAUGGGCGCAAGCCUGAUCCAGCCAUGCCGCGUGCAGGAUGAAGGCCUUCGGGUUGUAAACUGCUUUUGUACGGAACGAAAAGACUCUGGUUAAUACCUGGGGUCCAUGACGGUACCGUAAGAAUAAGCACCGGCUAACUACGUGCCAGCCGCCGCAGUAAAAC